GAGACGACGCCAACGCGACGACAGACGCACACGACAAGCGCGGCCACGCACGCACAGGCAUGGCCACGGAUGCCAACCACACAAACGACCGCCGCCGGAAAGCCUACAGCAGCGGACGACUAAGAAAAACAACAUGGGACACACUAAGUUGACGAAUUUGCCUACUUGUACUUGAUGGCAGCUCUAGCGAUGGCACUGCAGUAAGCCUUCGUCUCUGUGCCCAAAUGAUCUCUCUUCCCGUCUAAAAGACUGACGACUAACGAUUAGAUAGGUUGACGGAGACUUUGGGGCGAGUACCGUCUCCUCCUCCUGGUUCCUGCUCCCAUUCCUAUGGUAGCGUCCUCUCAGCUCUGCGAGCGGCGGCGGCUAGAACUUCUUGUUGUACCAGAAGACGCCCUUGCGGUCCUCGGGCUCGACGUAGAUGCACUCCCUGGCCUCGCGCCAGGUCGCCUUGGCAACAGGGGUCGGGUCGAAGUGGUAGUAGUCCCCGAGGAUGGGCCUGAUCGCCUUGGUGGCCUCCAUGGCGUGGUAGUGCGGCAUGGUGGAGAAGAGGUGGUGCGCGACGUGCGUGUCCGUGAUGUUGUGGAACACGCGGUUGAGGAUGCCGUAGUCGCGGUCCAUGGUGGCCAGCGCGCCGCGCAGCCAGUCCCACUCGCUCGAGUCGUAGUGGGGGAGCGACGGGUGGGUGUGCUGCAGGUAGGUGAUGAGCACCAGCCACGCGUUCACGAUCAGCAGCGGCACGGCGUACACGCGCACCACCCACCAGACCCCGAACGCCGCCGCCAGCUUGUACAGCCCGAACGCCACGGCCACGACGCCGGCGUCCGAGACGAAGAUCUGGGCGCGCUCCCGGUCGUUGUAGAUGGGGCCGUAGGGGUCGAAGUGGCAGGCGAAGCGCGGGUACGGCCGCCCCGACGCGUUGGUCGCCAGGUACAGCGGCCACCCGAGGGUGAGCUGCACCACGAUGUGCACCACCCGGCCGACCGGGUUGUUGUACACGUACGGGGUGUACCACGGCAGCGCCUCCUUCUUCUUGGGCACGAACACCUCGUCGCGCUCCAGGGACCCCGUGUUGGAGUGGUGGCGCCGGUGGCUGUACUUCCACGAGAAGUAGGGCACCAUGAGCGACGAGUGCAGCACCAGGCCGACCACGUCGUCCAGGAGCGAGUAGUCCGAGAAGGCGUGGUGGCCGCACUCGUGCGCGAUGACCCACACGCCGGUGCACACGCACCCCUGCGCGAUCCAGUACAGCGGCCAGGCGGCGUAGCGGAGCGGGCUUGGGAGCGCCGGUAUGAUGGCCAGCGCGAAGUAGAGGAGCGCCGCGGCGAUCACCAGGUCGUGGACCACGUACGAGAAGGACUUGAGCACCGAGCGCUCGAAGCAGUGUGGCGGGAUGGCCUUCUUGAUCUGACCCAGAGUGAACGGAGGCUUCUCCACCGGCGACCGCUGCAUCGCGGCGCCACCGGUAGCUCGGGCGAGCUGCUCCUGCUUCUCCCGCUCCUUCUCGGUCAUCCUGCCGCCGGCACCCAUCUUGCUCCUGACUGACACAAACGAGGUAGUACGCUACAGUAAGAUCAAGCGAGCGUGAAUCAAGAACAACAUUACAGUGAUCUCAUCCCAUCAAAAAAGCUGUCACGUGAACCACGAGAAAGGCCACCAAUCAACCAAAGUAAAACAGAUCACGGCACGAGGGGGCGUCUCCCAGGAAGGUGGCAAAUAUGCCGUGCAUGAUCGCAUUUACUUUCUUGCCUAAACACGAUCCAACUACCACGCCACAGCAAGUUGGGGAUCACAGCAUGUGCGAGCCCAAACCAGCAAUUCUGAUUACCACCACACAGAACUAAUAAAAUGCAGACUUUACAGCAAGACCAAGGAUGGUACAAAACCCUACGGCAAAUCUACAUUAAAUAAGCAGAAAACAGAUUAAGGUCCUGUCACUUGUGAUGUUACAUUGAACGAACUGGUCCAACAACCCCCUUGAGAAACAUGUGAUGUACUGCAUGCAAUUGGACGGUGAUUUGUGAAAGGGACUUCUGGACCAAUGGAAAGCAGCAGGCAGGAGAGACUAACAAGCGGCAGCGCCAAGAACGUGCGUUGAGGUGAUUCAGCGGAAGGAAAAAUAAAUGGUAGUACUACCAUAUAUGGUCAAAUCUAAGCUAUCCAAUAGCCAUACAGAGCAAGGCAAUCUUGCGUCAUCGGUAGAAGUGGUCAAUUUUGACAAGCUAGCAAGCAUGAGCUCCCAAGUCAUCUUUUCUACAUGCAAACCCACCUACCAGUCCAGAGCCUAGAGGCACACCAUAUUUCAAAAAAAAAUCAGCGUAAGAUGGCAGGUGCUCUGCCUUGUGCAUUGAAGGUGGUGGUAAAUCAGUUCGGUUUACGAUAAAGCCUAGUGAAGCCCCAUAUAGCAACGUAAAAGAUGCACGGCGCAUUAGUAUAAAUCUUAGAAAAGAUCCGGUUUUUCAUUGUCUGUUUGCUUCAUCUUGUUACCAAAAUUUGGGCGUUUAUCAGUGAUGCCAAAACUUUGGUAGUGCGGCAUCCAGUAUGGUAUGGUAUGGCUCGAAGCCGCACAUGUAUAGAUGGCCAAAAAGCACGAGGCCCGUGAGCCCGGCACGAAGCCCGCUUUUUGGGCCCGGUCCGAGCCCAGCACGGUAGAAUAAACGGGCGGGCUUGGACAGGAAACUAGGCACGGCGGGCUAGCCCGGCACGGCCCGUUUACCUCUAAGCCCGUUAAGCCCGUUUUUUUUACACUAAAAUGUGCUUACCGGCCCGUUUAGCCCGCUUUUUGGCCCGUUUUUUCGUGCUAAACGGGCCGGCCCGGCCCGUUUAGGCCCGCUGCGGGCCGGGCUUGGACAGAAACUUAAGCCCGCUGGCACAGCAGGCCCGGCCCGGUUUUGGCCGGGCUUCACCGGGCCCGGGCCGGGCCGGGCCGGGCCGGCCCGUUUGGCCAUCUCUACGCACAUGUGCUCGCACGAGGUGGAAUCGGAUGUUAUCUGUCUCCCUUGGGGCUUGGCCGAAAUGACACAAGCGUGUCCUGUCGACCAGCCAACCAUGGCGCCCACAGAUGGAGACAGAAACCAGAUCCGUCGAAAGAGAUGCUUGGCCGCCGUGCCGAUACUGUGCAUUAAUUCUGACAAGACAAGGGCCGCCCGUCUAAAUUGUCUCCCUAACUUUCUGAUCGGACGGCGGGGAGAGCCAAACAAACAGGGAAGAAAUGGCACAUGCGACUCCAUGCCAUGGCCAUAGCAGUAGCAGCAAUUUGCAUCGGACAGCGAGUUGCAGCCGACCACGCCAAGGUGAAGGACGGGUCACUCUGGUCACCAGAGGGGCCAACUGCACCCAGAUCUGCUGGUCCACGCCUCUCGACACUUGUCCGAGUUAUUCUACGGCUGGAUAAUCGUGUCGAAAAAUAUCUGUGCACCGGUGUUGCAUGCCAUCAUGUGGGGCCUAGAAUUCGGUGCCGGGCUUGCAGGCUGCGACCCCCGCGGCGUCUUGUACCGUUGCGCAGACACAGCUGCAGAGCCCUGACAUGCCGCCGGCCCAUGCCGAAGGUGAGGCGGAGUAGGUGAAAUCUUUUUCUGUCUCGGUUUUUGACUGUACGUGGCCACGUGGGAGGAGACAGUCGCCACCGUCCAAAAUCCCAAGGCAUCGGACGGUAGCGCGUCGUUCAUCACGAUGCCGUUUUCUAGGUCAAGCAGACAAGACCCACGGAACGAGCUCCCCAUCCCCGCUGCCGCCGCCGGCGGCGGCGGCUUCCUGCCCUCGACCUCGAGCGUGUGAUGACUGGGAUUGAAAGGAACGCGCUCUAUUUUUUUCUAUCCAAAUUCCUAGAAAAGCAUAUACGGUUUCCCAUCUGGACAAGUAGAUAUUUUUUUAUGUGUGACCAAAGCAGAACGAGUUGCUUCCUAGACACAGCAAUUGCUGGAGCUAAAAGGUCAGUCAAUUCUUGGGUGCAAUUGUCGCCAACUCCGUGCUUAGCUAAUAGUACCAGUAAAAAAAAUUAGAAGCUAGAACAACGGAGCAGUUGGCCAUCAUGGGGAGGGCGCAGGCGCAGCGAUGGCUGUCAUGGAGGGACCGAACGCCUAAAGAAAGAGGCUAGGCCUGUAAAGGUUGCAGCUUUUACCCACAAGAUUGACGGGAGCUGCGAAAAGUUCGUGGCCAAAAGUGGCAUGUCAUGUUCCCGAAACGAGUGGGCAGGAGGGGGCAGAGAUCAUGGAUCCAUUGCACGGGCAAAAUAUCUGAUCGGCACCACUCGCUGAAUCCUACAGAUCUGAUGAGAUGGGAAACAAGCGCGCUUUGCCAGGACUAAUCUGGGCAAAUCCACAUCGGCAGCGCAAGGCCUCUGCGGAUGCCCGCCGGUGAGAUCGAUGUCAAGCUCGACCGGCGGGGGCUACGGCGAGUUCGGCCGCAUCCCAUUACUUUCUCCCAGACCCAACGCUACGGAUCGACGACACGAGCUCGGCCGGACCCGCCCCGCCGGCGACGGCCGGUCACGAGCCCGCUACGGCGAACUGUCACCCUGCUGCCGAGCUCAGCAACCCAAAACCGAAACUCCGGUCGAUUCCUCAUCAAUCCAUUCAGAACAAUCUAUGAAACACUGGCAGGGGGGAUCAUCCAGAAUAGAGGAAGGCUAAUGCGGGUACCUGAGACUGAGGAGGUCGUAACAGCUGCGUCGGGGCAGAGCAGAUCGGGCGGACACCGCGCCUCACCUCUCUCUC
rnacentral:lncRNA from 1 species